CCUGCUUCAUGCCUUCUAGCCAAAGUCGUGGUUCUGAGUACAAGGAUCAGGUUGCUUGGACUUGAACCCCAGCUUUGCCUCCCUCUCCUGCUCAGUGACUCAAACCACCAAGGAGGGGCUGUAACCCAGUCUGGAGAGAAGUUCGGGACAUUUUCCUGAGGCAGCGCCUCCGGGGCACCAUCCAUUGGGAGAGGGUGCCUCCCCUGCUGACCUGUGAAGCCAGACGGGCAGAGGCAAAGGAAAGCUCCUGGGAGAUCGAGGCAGCUGGCUCCAGCAGGGCAUGGGCCGCUCAGACACUCGUCCACCUCCGCCUGACAGCGCGGGCCUCCAAAGCCUGUGGCACAACAGGAGGGCCAGGGCUGCACGGACUCUGCCCCUGCCCUCUCUCUCCUCCAGUGUUUGAGCCCCAGUUUACCUGGGAGACACUCGCAGUGGAAGGAUCCAGGCUGGUCCCGGCACUGCCCACCGUUAGCACAGGGAGAGCUUCUGCACUCGUCUAUGUCCUCCUCACACCGCGGGCCGGUGAAUCCUGGUGGGGUGGGGAGCCGGGGGGAGGAGAGGUGGCAAAGGUCUUUUUUUUUUCUGUAGAUUUAUUAGAGAGUUUGUUACAAGUGUUUGAGCUUUAUAGGCAUGAUUUCAUGGAUUCAAACAAGAAAUUGAGAGUUAACACUGCUGUUAGUCUUCUCUUGGCAAAUAUAGAAACAACAUCGCUACAAA